UACGGACAUAUCACGUUGAAUACACCGGGUCUCUUCCAAAGUUAAGCAACGUCGAGCGUGGUCAGUACUUAGAUGGGUGACCGCUUGGGAAUGCCAGGUGGUGUAA